rnacentral:rRNA from 1 species
GCAAACGUUACUUGGAAUCACUGGGCCUAAAGGGCGCGUAGGCGGCUUUCUAAGUCAGUGGUGAAAUCCGGCAGCUCAACUGUCGCAGUGCCUUUGAUACUGGAGAGCUCGAGGGAGGUAGGGGUCUGUGGAACUUCCGGUGGAGCGGUGAAAUGCGUUGAUAUCGGAAGGAACGCCGGUGGCGAAAGCGACGGACUGGAUCUCUUCUGACGCUGAGGCGCGAAAGCCAGGGGAGCAAACGGG